UAUGUCCCAGCUGUUCUGAGUGUCUCUGGAAAGCUCGUGUUGUCCCAGGCUAAGCAGUCUUGGCAUUUUCAACCUGGGAGCCUAUUUCGGGCAUUUGCAUAAACUAAACCAUGGGAGGAGGUCUGUGCUGUGUGCUUUAAAGGGCGUUUUCAGGCCCAGGUGCGGCUCAGUGGUGAACCACGCGCUUGGCAAACAAGGCCUGAAGUAAAAUUCCCAGCACCACAUCAAGCACAGGUUUUUCACCCACUGUGCGAGCUGCCAAGCCUGGGCAGGGGCUCUGCUCCGGCCUCUUCCGAGAGGGUGAAGGGGAAACUGGCCUUCUGUGCAACUGAGGAAAGCAGCUCCAUGAAGGAAUCAACAUAGCUGUUGACCGACUCGAAGCUGCCCCGCAGGUGCCGCAGGCCCCAGUCCGAAAAAGACUCCUCUCCCUUGAGGCUGGGGUCGCUCUCAGCUAGGCUGCCCACCAGGCCAAACCACAGGAGGAAGAAGCCGCAGGGCAGCUUCAUCCUGCACACAAGUAGGACGCUACUCUCGUCCCCCCCCGACCCCAGCCAGGGUCCCAGGAAGCCUGGGGAAACACACACAGCCCCGUGCCUGGCCUUAUCGGAACAGUCAGUCUGUGUUCCCCAGAGGUGGACUUUAAACACAGCCAUGGAGGCCGGGAGCAGAUCUGAGCGAUUAGAGGGGACAAAGUGCUCAAGAUCCAGCCUAGGACUUUGAGCCACAGCCUCAGUCACCACCUGCUCUCUUUACGUGCCGGUGACUUCGGAAUUCAUUUCAAAUGGCGCGAGCCCACGCCCCUCAUCCUGAAGCUGGGCAGAACUGAGGGUGUGGUUCAGAGGAUUUCCGAGAAAAAGCACACUGAGACCUGAGAUAAGCCAGUAAAGGAGCUGCUCCAGGACAAUCUACCCUGAAGAGUGAAGAAGAGCUUGUGGAAUCACACGGCAGUGUUAAGAGGGUCAGUGAUUAUGGGAGUAUAGCUUGCUCCUGCCACACUGAGGAACAUUACCAAACUGAGCAACUUUAAUCCUUCUUGUCUAUGCGUCAGUAAAAGUCCCAGAGAACAGCUCCCUCUCUUUCAAGCCACUCUUUCCCUUCCUGACGAUGUAAUCUGACUAGAGGGUUAUGGCAAACCUCAGGCUAGCAAGCUGAGCUACCUCCGGUCCUGACAGCAGUGCUGCUAUGUUUGGAGCAGUGAGACCCCUGAUCCUGAAUUUCUUGUAAUCCCCUGAUCUGAGUGCCUACAGCUGCUCUGAGCACGAGACCUUCAGGAGUUCCUGAUGGCAGGAGAGUGGUUUCUGGUGGGUUUGGCUGGGG